GGAGUUUUUCAAAAGAUUAAAUUUUUAAUUAUCCUCCCCCUAACUCGGCAAUGGCAGUGCCGAUUUCAUUGGAAAUUUUUUUGGCCAGAAUGAAUCUCGGCAAUGGCACUGCCGAUUUUCAUUUACAUAUUUUGGCAAUAAAUACUAUGCCAUCAAUAUUUAUUGUGCAGAGCAAUAUUAUGCACUUAAUGAAUAUAAUUAAUGAAUUCAACCACUCACUAAAUUAAUGAAUAUUAUGCACUUAAUGAAUAUUGUGCAGAAACAAUAUUCAACUAAAUUUAAUGAAUUCAACCAUAAAUAUAUUUAAUUCGGUCAAACAACCUAUUGAAUUAUCCUCCCCCUAAUUAUAUUCAUUAAGUGCAUUCAAUCUUUUGAAAAACUCCUCCCCCAUUGCCGAGUUAGGGGAGGUAAAUUAAAAAAAAAUUAUUACAAAACUCCCCCCAUUGCCGAUUUAGGGGGGAGAUUUAAAAAAAAUCAAUUAUUGAAAAACUCCUCCCCCAUUGCCGAGUUAGGGGAAGAGGUUAAAAAAAAUAUUUGAGAAAAACUCCUCCCCCAUUGCCGAUUUAGGGGGAGGAGAUUAAAAAAAUAAUAUAUUUGGUAAAAACUCCCCCCUAUUGCCGAGUUAGGGGGGAGUACAUUUAAAAAAUAUUUCUUUUCUGUAAAUCGGCAAUGGGGUUGCCGAUUUACCCUAAAACUACACUACUUUGGUAAUUUUUUCAAAAGGUGCACCAAGACCGUAAUUUUUCGGUCAAGGUGCACCAACAAAGUAAAUUUUCCAAUUAUAGACGUUGAUUUCUCUCUCUUGACCUAUUUCUUAAUAAUGCAUUAAUAGUGAAGAUAAUGUACUUUUUGGUUGAUUAGAAUGAUGACCUCAUCCUUAAUUUUUAGGUUUUGAUAAGGUGUUUUCAUCAUAUAUUUUUAUAUAACAUGUAAGAUAAUUAUACAAAUAGGCAUUUCACUUAUAUCUAUUAGAUUCCAUUUAUUAUUUAAAUAAAAAUAAUAUCAACAUGAUUUAGCUGUAUCAUUUAUUAUUAAACCAUUAUAUGCUCUUAAGCUGCUGGUUGAUAAGUAUUUAAUUAUUUAAAAAAAUGAAAUAUUUAAUACUUAUAUCUUGUGCUUAAGACUUACAAAAUCUGAAAAUCAUCAUAAGCUUCUUUCAACAUGAAGACAAAGAUAAUUAGACAUGAAUGAUGUGUCAAAAACUGAUUUUCCUAGAAACUUAGUGGGUGAAGGCUGUAUCAUAGGGAUGGGGAUCACAAUGUCCCCAUUCAUGUCUUAUUUGAUGUACCAAGCCAAUCAUAGAGCUUCAUUCCUUUAAAAAGAAGAAUUAUAAAAACAGAAAUUAAUAUUUUAAUAUUAUUUUGUGAUGUUUAAUUAG
rnacentral:lncRNA from 1 species